UACGAAGGGGGCUAGCGUUGCUCGGAAUCACUGGGCGUAAAGCGCACGUAGGCGGCUUGUUAAGUCAGGGGUGAAAUCCUGGAGCUCAACUCCAGAACUGCCUUUGAUACUGAAGAUCUUGAGUUUGGGAGAGGUGAGUGGAACUGCGAGUGUAGAGGUGAAAUUCGUAGAUAUUCGCAAGAACACCAGUGGCGAAGGCGGCUCACUGGCCCGAUACUGACGCUGAGGCACGAAAGCGUGGGGAGCAAACAGG
rnacentral:rRNA from 1 species